AGUGAGUGAGUGAGACAGAGAAUAUUUUCAUAUUAGCAUUGAUAACAAUACAUCUAUCGUAUAUAAACAGUUACAAAUGGAUUAAGACACAAGUUACAAUAAGUAAUUGAAAAAUAUGAAUUCUCAGACGUGUAACUAUAACAACCCAAUUUAAUUAGCCAAUUAUUUAUUUUUUAAGUUAUUUAAUUAAUUAUUUUAAAUAUUAUUUUGUGUGAUUUUGGACGGUUAGUGGCGAUUGCGGGAAA
rnacentral:lncRNA from 1 species